CCAUAUUUAUAAGUGAGAUUGUAUAGUUCUUUUUCCUCCCGUAUUGUUUGUGAGCUCCUAAUCAGAAUUAUGCUCUCCUUGGUGAUUAAAUCGGGAAACUUGUCAUCAUUUUCUGUGCUCUGGAACAGAAGAAUAAUCUGUUUCUGGAAGUUUGGCAGCACCUGACUGCAGACUGCUGGUGUUUUGUCUCGUUUGUGUCUUGCAGUGCUGAGGAUUGAGUCCAGAGCCUAGGCCAAGUUAGUGUUUAUUGGCCAGACGUGCUCAGUGAUCGCUUAUUUUAAUCUUUUGGAAGAACCAGCUUUGGGAGUUCUUGGUGAGUGCUGCUGAUUUUUAUCCUUUUACAUCAGGAAUUUCUGUCGUUACUAUUUAUCUUUCUGCUUCAUUUAAAUUUACUUUGUUCAAUCUGUAGCCUCCCGAAUCGAAAGCUUGAAUCCUUUCUUUAACCAGCUGAUCCUCCUCCUAAAACAGGCAAGGUCUUGGAAUUCAUUUUGUUGGCCUCACAUGUUUUUCUUUCCCUCCAGUACCGGGGAUUGAACUGAGGACCUUGUGCUUGCGAGGGAGGCAGCUGCACCCCUGAGCUAAUUCCCUGGCCCGAGUUGGUUUUGUUUCAUCCUUGCUCCCUGAAAUCUGACUCAAGGUCCUGCCGUGGUAUCUCUCCCUGGGGUCCGUGUGUAUAACUACAGAGAAUGUCCUUCAGAAUCGUGAUCAUAAAGCCCAUUGGAGGAGAGCCAGCUUGAGGGAAGUAGAGAGUCCUGGGGUGUUUUGUUGGUUGGUUGGUUGGUUGGUUGGUUGGUUUGUAUUUGGUACCGGCAAUCGAACUCGGGGCCUUGAGCUUGCAAGGCAAGCGCUGGAGCCACUGAGCUAAAUCCCCGGCCCUGGAGAAUCCGGGUUUUUUUCAUGACCUUGAGUUUUGGGUGUCUUGGGUGCAGGCUAGAGAUGUUGUUGGACAUGGUAUAGAGUGAGAGGAGAGGCUUAGGGUGGGAUGUAAAUCCCUGGUUUUCCCGCAGUUUACCUAGGGGCACACAGGUAUGUAUGUAUGUAGGU
rnacentral:lncRNA from 1 species